rnacentral:lncRNA from 1 species
GAAGACAAAGCCAUGUGAGUUUGCCUUUUCUUCCACCAUAUGUCACCAUCCUCAAUCAAGAUCUCCUUGAAUCUCUGUAUAUAAAAAACCAUUCGAUAUGAAUCACACAACCACAACUUCCUCUGAAAUCCUUGGCAUCUUUUCACCAAGAAGACGUGCAUGCUGUGAGAGUAUCCAUCCUCAAUCAGGCUUUUGAAGUGAACAGAAACUACCAUCCUUAAAAAUGGCCAUCCUUUUUCCUCGGAUCAUUCAAGCAAAACAAAUUCUCAGAAGAUCAUUAUCCAACGGAAGCAGCACAACCAAAUCUAUGGAAACCCCAAAAGGCUAUUUAGCAAUUUAUGUUGGUGAGCAAGAGAAGAAGCGGUUUGUGGUUCCUGUAUGGUUGUUAAGCCAACCUGCAUUUCAAGAACUAUUAGAUCAGGCAGAGCAAGAAUUUGGGUAUGUUCAUCAAAUGGGCGGCCUCACAAUUCCAUGCAGUGAAUAUACAUUCAGUGAUAUUGCUUCUCAGUUGGGCGCAUUAUGACUUCUAUACAACAUUCUUACAACCAACUAAUCACUAGUUUUUUUUAUUAUUUGUAAUUAAAUCGAGACAAUUUUUCCACUUGUAUGAAAUCAGAUCAAGGAGCAAUUUUGAGUUCACUAUAAUUUGUUUGUAUGUAUGAGAAACUAAUUUCACCGUUGAUUAUUUUGGAAAUGUGAAUUUUGGGAGUGAAAUUGAGGUAAUGAAGAUAGUUGCUUUUGUUCAUGACCUAUCAUCCAAAAUAUAAUUGGUAAACAAUAUGUAGAACUUUGGUCCAUGACCAUAUGAUGGUGAUAUAUCAACCAUUAAGUCUCACAUGAUUUUGUUCUUUAACCAAAAUAAAAUAAUAGUUGGCAAAACAUUGACGCAUUACAAGAUGAAUUGGGUCCCACUUGAAAACAAUUCCCUUGCAUGAAAAACAAACAUAAUGGUUAGAUAUACGAAGAAAGUUAUAGGAAUGAUUAACUAUUAUUUUGAUUACUUAUACAGGCAAGGAUAAUGUAAAUUAAAGCAAAAGAAUCAUGCUGCUAAAGCCAUGUAAUUUCCUAAUCACAACCAAUUAAUAUGUGAAAUUGUUGCAUACAACAUUAACUGAGAACCAUAGAACAUAGAAGUAUUAUGUUUAAUCAUGAUUAUGCAUUUUGAAUACAGGACUAUGAAAAAAAAUUGAUAUUUGAUUUUGGUUCUUCAUUUAUGUGUAAGCAUAUGUUGUUACUAGCUUAGCCAACAAACUCCUCCAAUUUGAAUAAAGUUUAGGAAAGCUCAAAUCUGUCCCAUUCAAGAUAUUAAAGUUUUUUUUUCCAUGCAAUCAUGUUUCUAUGCUUAUCACAAAUCCAAAAUCAUGUGUCCAAAUCCAAAUUCAACACUCAACAGAAAACAAACAGAUCUUGAAGGUCUCCCAUUCUUUCCAGAUUUUAGACUUAACUAGGUACACACAUGGAAACCUACGUUUUCUUUUCUAUUGUUAAUAUUCAAUCGACGCUCACAAGAAAAGAAAAUAUGGUGCUCCCCAGUUCCAACUUUUGAUCCCAUCAUUUAACCUAUGAAUACAUUAAGCCCUUUAUCUUCUAUUUAUUUUCAAAAUGACCCAAAAACAAUAAGUAACAGAUUUUUCCCUAUAUUUUUAAAAUUGAAAUAUUUCAAAAUACCCUUCUACAUUAUCACCUAAUUAUUCAACAUACAUAUCAUUUUAAAUUAAUGAACAAUUAAUUUACUUCAAUUUUCAAUUAGUUUCCAUUUAAUAAACUUCGAGUUACUAAUUUUUAGUUUUGCCAAACAAUACGCCUUAACAUUCUUAUAUACUUGAUUGGGUGUAGUAUGAUAUAAAAUUUGGGAUGUUGCCUGGUGUCUUCAAAAAUACCACCCAUCCGCGACCUGAGUUAGUGUAAGCUUUGGCAUUCACUCUAUGUUAGUGUAAGCUAUGACAUUCACUCCAUGUUCACAGAGAUAAUUCGUAGAAGCUAGGUCUUGAAGUGUAUUAUAAAAUUUGGGAUGUUACCCGAUCUCUUCAACAAUACCACGCAUCGACAACCUAAGCUUGUGAAAGCCUACGACCAUUGCUCCAUAAUGAAAGACAUAUAUCGUAGAAGCUAGGUCAUCAAGCCCAACAAUCAUCACAUUUUGAUGUUGUGAACAAGAUGUUGCGACGACAAUACGGGGAUGCAAAUCAUGCUUCAGACGAAAAAUAUCUCUAUAUAAACGAAUACUGUGCUCAACACAUGAUGCCUGGAUAGAGUCGAGCAAUUGAUAAAAUCUAGGGAACUCUAGCACAUGGUUUAGAAACUAAUAUAAAAAAGCCAAUCCAAAUCCAUUUCAAUAGAAGCCAAAUGAUCAGAAAGUUGCUUCUUCUCGACAUAAUGAAACCUGACUAUGUUAAUCAUCUAAAACUACAUCAGUAAAGUGUUGCUCCUUGAUGACAUAUUAAAGCUCGAAUUCUCGAAUCCCAUCCAUGAUACCCUCAUUACAAAACCUCACAAGAUCCUGAGCCCAUUCAACUUCCACGAUUGCUAAUUGGAACCCCUCUAUGGACUCCUUCAAAUUAUCCACUUAUACUGCUACGACGAAAUCGAUGAGUAAUAUACCCCUCCAACAGAGAAACACACUCUACUUUGUUGCUCGCCUCUACAAACACGAAUACGAAAAAGAACCACACAAAUAUAGUUAACAAAAAUGUGUUUUACAAAUGAGCAAACCUACCACUAGUAGAUAAAAAGGUAUCACCUACAGAUAAGGGCGAGGACAGUGCGGUUUUAAGAAUUAUGGACCUAACUAAAUCGCAAACAGCAACUACAAUUAUUUCAUUUUUUGAACCGAUUAUUGUGGUUAUGUGGUUUUUUUAAUGAAGUUUGUAGUUUGGUAUUUGGCUAUCUAGAUGUGGUGCGAUUUUCUUUAUGUUAUUUUUUUGUGUUGUUUUUUUCCAUGUGGAUUUGGUUCUUUUAAUAUGCGGUUUUAAGAAUUUAAAGCUGUGUGUAAUUAACAACAUAAAAACUUCAAAUUUCAAUAACUUACUUAAAACACUAUCAGACUAAUAUGUAAACAAGCAAAAUCAUUACAUACUCAAAAAUUAAAAAUUCAUUAAAUAUUAGAGAAUAGAAACAAAGACAUAAGAUGUUAGGUUUGAAGUAGCAAAUAUUUCAAUCUCUUUUUGUUGAGCAUCAUUAGAUGAUCUUUUACCCUCUCACAGUGUAUCNUUUUUUUUUUUUUUUUUUUUUUUUUUUUUUUUUUUUUUAAUGUUAAUAUCAGAGUAUGUAUGUGUGAAAUUAAGUCCAAAAAUAUCGACAAUUUUCUUAAUUGUAUAAAAUAGGACCAAGGAACAAUUUUUAUUUCACUGUAAUUUGUUCAAUGUAAAAAUGAUAAACAAAUUUUAUUGUCGACUAUUUUAGAAAUUUGAAUUGUUUUGGGAGUGUAAUGGAGAUUAUUGUAUUUAACGUUAUAUCUUGGCUUUUUUUUUUUUUUUUUUUUUNUUAUUGUAUUUAACGUUAUAUCUUGGCCUUUUUUAUAAAACUGCAUCAAGCAAACAUAGUUAACAAAGAUGGUAGCUCUAUCUCCUAUAAGUACAAGCUUAUAUGGUCAAAUAAUAUACAUGGUAUUCCAAACAAGUCAAAGUUCUCAUUUUAUACAAUUGGUACAAGUGACUCAGUCUCGCAUGUUGCAAAACGGUCUGGGAUCCGUGGUUUAAAAAAAUGUGUUAACAAAUAGAAUGAUGUUGUAACACCAUUAAAAUUUCAAACAAUUUUUCUCAAUUUAUUUUAAUAAAAUUGUUCACUUCCAAAUCAUUCAAAAAUCAAAUAUCCAAUAUCCUCUCAAAAUACAUAACAAAAUCCAUAUCCCAGGAUCAAAAAAAAAUUAUCACCUGCAAGUGGGUACUGAUCAAGCUGGCGUCUUCCCACGGUCAUCACUGGUACCUGAAACACACAUCACACAAACGGUAAACAUAAAUGCUUAGGGUGUUCCCCAAAAUAGCACGUAUAGCACAUACGCCCUUCCAGGCCUUAGGAUCUUCCGAUCCAAGUGUCUCACGGGAUUUCCAUCCUGUAACUUUGUUGACCUUCCGGUCCAUAUCAUCUUGACGUUCCAGUCCACAUCGUCAUUCUCAUAUCAUAACAUAUCACAUAUAACAUGCAUCACAUAUACAUCAUAAACAUAAGACCUUCCGGUCACAUAUAAUUACCCAAUCGGGUACGGCAUAGUGAGAAAACUCACCUUACUGAUGUCGGAUAAUCACUCGUGCUCGAUCUCCCGACCUCUCGUCCUCCUAUAUUAUAAGUGCAUCUCUAAUUAAUACUUUUCCUGACUUAUUUUGACUAACACUAACAAGUCAACACUAGUCAACCCUGGUCAACGGUCAACGAUCAACCUUGACCCGACUCGUCGAGUCUUGCACGGACUCGUCGAGUCCAUACGUGAAUCCAUUUUCUCUGAAUCCCUUCUGGCUCACCGAGUCACUCACCCAACUCGGAGGUUCAUCAACUAAUCUGAGACGCGGGACAACCCGCCCUGACUCGUUGAGUCUGAUCCUGGACUCGACGAGUUCAUUCCAUGCACAUCCUCAAACGACUUCCUGAGGUCAGAUCCAGUCCUCUAACCUAUAGAUCUAUCAUUCCCAAACCCAAUAACCACGUAAAGUUUCUAUCUUGAUGCACAUAUAACAUCUAUUUGGUCAUAUAUGAUGAUUUAGCCCCAAAUACCAUAACCCAAGGUCAUAACCUCCAUUGCUCUUCAUAAAGCUUAAUGAGUAAGGCUCUCUAGACCUCUAUGGAUCCAGAUCGAAAGCCUCAUCACCAAGAGGGACUUUUUGGUCAUCAAAUCUAACCAACAAAGGGUCAAAGAAACCCUAAAUCCAUAUGAUCAUCAUAAGAACAGAAGGAGAGUCGAAUUACUACCUCAAAUAUGAUGACUANUUACUACCUCAAAUAUGAUGAUCUAAGCUUCAAAUCCACAGAAUAGCAAACUCCUUUGUUUCCCCUUGACUCGGAUCUCCUUCUUCUUGCUAAACAACACCACAAAAGUCAAUAAUGGCUUCCUUUCUCUCCCAAAUCGCUCAAACACUCUAGGGUUUCUCUCUGGGAACAGGUAGCCACAAAUGGAGGCCAUAAGGGCCUUUAAAUAGGUCCCAAACCCAAGAAAAUAGGGUUUCUUUCGCCAGCUCAGACUCGGCGAGUCACUCCCCCUGACUCGUCGAGUCCCCUUAUUAAACGCAUCAUCCAAUCGCGACCGGACUUUCAAGGUAGCUCCAAACGAUACGCUACCCUGCCCACCCUAGCGAUCACCCGGAAGGGACCAAUAUACCGAGGCCCCAACUUGCCCCUUUUCCUGAACCGAAUCACACCUUUCCAAGGUGAGACUUUCAGGAGAACAAAGUCACCCACCUGGAACUCGAGAUCUGACCGUCGUCGAUCCGCAUAACUUUUUUGACGGCUCUGGGCUGUCAAUAACCUNUGGAUCUGCUCUGUCGUCUCAAGCACGAUCUCUGUACUACCCAUCCCCCGCUGCCCUACCUCUCCCCAACAAAUGGGGGUCCGACACCUCCUCCCAUACAACAGCUCAAAGGGUGGCAUACCAAUGCUCGAAUAAUGGUUGUUGUUGUAGGAAAACUCUGCCAAGGGCAAGUACGUGUCCCAACUCCCGCCGAAAUCCAACACACAUGCUCGGAGUAUGUCCUCGAGCGUCUGAAUCGUCCGCUCACUCUGCCCAUCAGUCUGUGGGUGGUAUGCGGUACUAAAAUACAGCCUCAUACCCAAUUCCUCAUGAAAUUUCUUCCAGAAUCUAGAAGUGAAACGCACAUCUCGAUCUGAGACAAUCGAGAUCGGAACCCCAUGCCGCGAUACCACCUCCCUCACGUAUAUCUCUGCCUACCUCUCCGCGGAAGAGCUCUCACUAAUAGCAAGGAAAUGAGCACUCUUCGUCAACCUGUCCACAAUCACCCAAAUUGCAUCGACGCCUCUCGCAGUCCUCGAAAAUUUGGUGAUGAAAUCCAUGGUAAUCUGUUCCCAUUUCGACUCGGGAAUCUCUAACGGCUGCAGCUUACCAUGUGGACACUGGUGCUCGGCCUUAACCCUGCGACAGGUCAGACAUCUCUCUAUAAACCAUGCGACAUCCCUCUUCAUAUAGGGCCACCAAUACUCCCUUUUUAGGUCCAAAUACAUCUUAGUGGCCCCGGGAUGGAUCGAGAACUUCGAUCGAUGAGCCUCUUCCAUCAAAAUGGUACGCGUCCCUCCCACAAACGGUACCCAUAUACGACCCUGAAAUGUCAUAAGUCCUCGACUGUCAGUAACGAACUUCGAUACCUGCCCGAUUACCAGCUCCCUUUUACGGUUCUCUGGUCUCACGGCCUCCGCCUGGGCCCCUCGAAGAGUAUCCAACACAUGAGUCAUCACUGUCAAUCUCAUACAAACGUCUUGCAUCGGGGCGCUUUCCGCCCUACGGCUCAAGGCAUCGGCUAUAACAUUAGCCUUGCCCGGAUGGUACAGGAUCUCACAAUCAUAAUCCUUUACUACAUCCAACCAUCACCUCUGCCGCAUGUUCAGAUUGGGCUGAUUUAUCAAAUAAUUCAAACUCUUGUGGUCCGUGUAUAUGGUACACCGAACCCCUUACGGAUAGUGGCGCCAGAUCUUGAGGGAGAACACUACCGCCCCCAACUCCAGAUCAUGAGUGGGAUACUUCACCUCAUGAGGCUUCAGCUGCCUCGAUGCAUACCCUAUCACAUGCCCCCUCUGCAUAAGCACCGCACCUAACCCUGAUAUUGAUGCAUCUCAAUAAACCACAAAAUCAUCAACUCCCUCUAGAAGGGAUAACACUGGGGCUUCGCAUAGAUUUUGACGACGAGUCUCAAACGAGGUCUGCUGCUCUGGACCCCAUGAAAAAGCAACGCCCUUCUGAGUCAACCUAGUGAGUGGCACUGCAAUCUUGGAGAAAUCCUGAAUGAAUCUCCGAUAAUAACCGGCCAACCUCAGAAAACUCUUGAUCUCAGAGGCAGACUUCGGUACCUCCCAGCUCAUCACCGCCUCAAUCUUAGCCGGAUUGACCAAAAUCCCAUUCUGGUUAACGAGAUGCCCUAGGAACUGGACCUCCCGUAACCAGAAAUCACACUUGGAGAAUUUGGCAUAAAGCCUCUCUGAUCUCAACACCUCAAGAACCUCUCUCAAGUGUUCCUCAUGCUGCUCCCGAGAUCUAGAAUAUACAAGGAUAUCAUCAAUGAACACAAUCACCGAUCAAUCCAACAUCAGCCUACAUAAUCUGUUCAUGAGAUACAUGAACGCUACUGGCGCAUUGGUGAGCCCAAAAGGCAUCACCACAAACUCAUAGUGUCCAUAACACGUCCUGAAUGCCGUCUUCUGGAUAUCCUCAUCGCGCACCCUCAUCUGAUGAUAUCCAGACCUCAAAUCAAUCUUGGAGAACCAAGAUGCCCUCUGCAACUGAUCAAACAAAUCAUCAAUCCUUCGUAACGAAUAACGGUUCUUAACCAUUAACUUGUUCAACUCCCGGUAAUCGAUACACAUCCGGUGUGAACCAUCCUUCUUCUUAACGAAGAGAAUCGACGGUCCCUAAGGCGAGCUGCUCGGACGAAUGAACCCCUUCCCUAACAGCUCCUGCAGCUGUGAGAAUAACUCCUGCAUCUAUGGCGGUGCUAGUCGAUAAGGCGCCUUAGCGAUAGGCGCGGCCCCGGGAAUCAAAUCGAUGCGAAACUCCACCUACCUCUCGGGAGGCACACCCGGCAACUCCUCGGGAAAUACAUCCGGGAACUCACGCACUAUCGAGACAUCAUCAACUAAACUUGGCCUCCCAGUGAUCUCCCGCGCAUCAACCACAUAAGCUACGAAUCCCUUGCAGCUCUGCUGCAAACUCAGCCACGCUCUGGCAGCCGAACAGAAUGUUGACUCACUACGAGUUCCCUCACCAUAAACCACCAACACUCCCCCACUAGGAUUUCGGAUAGUCACCAACUGCUCCUUGCAGUCUAUCACUGCCCCAACACGGCUCAUCCAAUCCAUGCCCACGAUAACGCACACAUCCCCCAUCGCAAUCGUAACCAGAUCUAUCGGACACCCAACACCGAAGAUCUCUAGCACACACCCCUGAAUCACAUCUGUGGCAUACACUGCUCGUUCGUCAGCUAUAGAAACACGUAGAGGUCGACUCAUCACCUCUCGCUGGGUACUACUGUGUCUAUAGAAUGCUAAUGACACAAAUAAACGACUCGCACCCGAGUCAAAUAACACCAAAGCAGGUACAAAAUUCAUAAAAAAGUACCUACGCAUAACAUAAUAUAAACACAAAGUCUUGUAACAGCAUAAAUAAACAUGAACAGAAUACAUACCAGUCACGACGUCGGGUGCUGCACGGACCUCCUCCGCUGUCAGCUUGAACACUCUCCCUCGCGCCUUCAGCGCCUCGCCCUUCACUGAACGACCCUCAAUGGCUCUCGCAGUAGCAGGGGCAGAUCCCUAAGAGGCUCCCUGCAACUGUGGACACUUCGCCUUCCGGUGUCAAGUCUGGUUGCAAUGAAAGCAAACCAUGAAUCCCUUAGGGCAAUCCUUGGUGAUAUGCCCCUCCUUGCCACACUUGUAGCAAGCUCCCGAUCUACAAACUCCAUCAUGACCCUUGCCGCACUUCCCGCAAGUGCGGCCCUUCUGGCCCCCAGACCUCGAAUCAACGGGUUUUCCCCGCUUGGCCGCCGGCUGAGACUGUGCCGGUCGGCGAUCCCUGCUCUGAGACUCGGCCUCCUCCCUGGCUUGAGUCUCCAACUCAAUCUCCCUCUUCCGGGAAUUUUCCUGGAGCUCAGCAAAUGUACGAUACGAUGAGUUUGCCACGAACUCACGAAUGUCACUCCUCAAUAUACUCAUAUAUCGGCUCAUACGUGCCUGCUCGGUCGAUACGUGCUCAGGGCAGAACAUCGCCCUAUCAUGAAACAUCCGGGUAAUCACAGUAACUGACUCGGUACCCUGCUUGAGGGUCAAGAACUCCUAAGCCAAACGCUCCCGUUCCACCGGGGGAACGUACUCAUCACGAAACAUAGUGGUGAACCUCUCCUAGGUCACCGCAGCAAGCUCUGCUGGAGAAAAAUGCGCUGUCACGAACUUCCACCAAUCCUUCGCCCCCAAGCAAAGCUGAUUCAGUGCGAACCGAACUCUCAGAUGCUCUGGACAUGAACUUGUGUAAAAGCACCCCUCGAUGUAUGAGAUCCACCUCAUCGCGGGUACCGGAUCAUGAGUCCCAUCAAACUCUAGUGGCUUCGUGUUGCUAAACUCCCGGUACAACAACGAGUCACCCCCUUGCGGCCUGGAAGCGGUAACAACCGCAGUGGCUGCAACAACAGCAGCAUCAGUAAGAGCAGCAUAUCACUCAUCAAAGGUCUCAAUCAGGGUGGUAUUGAUAGAUCCGAACAUCUCUGGAAUCUCAGCUCGGAUGGCAGCAGCCACCUCAUCAUGAAUCAUCUAGCGGAGCUCCUCGUCGCUCACACCUCCCUCUCGGGUCUCUGGUCUAUGGUGUGUCCCAACCAUGAUGUCUCUGAAAUACAACAUAAAAAUAUCAGAGACUCGCUCGAGUGUACUCAAACUCGAUAACCCAACCAUACUCGAUUCCUAGAACCCGAAGGAUUCCUACUUGGGCUGCACACUGAUCCGAUGUUUCCAGUAGUACGGGCCCAAUACUACCUUCUACACCGUAUCAGUAUUCAUCUCAAGUCAUCCUCCAAGGAUUCCAAGUCCCAAUUACUCUAUCUCUUUCCACACGUAAACUACCCUUCGGUAGGAUCUCAUCGCACCUCACUGCUACCUACUCACUCUAAAGCAUCUCAUGGCAACAGAAAUCUUCUUAGGCUAAGGCAUCACAAAUCAGGCCACUCUUGUCCUAAUAUGAAUACCUAGCCUAUUCUAGCAUGCAUAACACAUUUCAACAUAUCUCAUAACACCAAAUGUAAGGGUAUUUUGGGAAAUCACCGUUCGGGCGCUGGCUGAUCGUACACACUGCUUUCUCGUGUAUCUUUCAAAUUCCUUUACUCUUUUUAGAAAACAAUUGUUUAUUUAUUGAAAUUUUUUCUCAAAUCCUCAGUUUGAGUUCAAAUACACCCGAAGGUGAAUCCGAAUCCCUCAAACCAACGCUCUGAUACCAAUUUGUAACACCGUUAAAAUUUCAAACAAUUUUUCUCAAUUUAUUUUAAUAAAACAUUUUACUUUCAAAUCAUUCAAAAAUCAAAUAUCCAAUAUCCUCUCAAAAUACAUAACAAAAUCCAUAUCCCAGGAUAAAAAAAAAAAUCAUCUGCAAGUGUGUACUGAUCAAGCUGGCGCCUUCCCGCGGUCAUCACUAGUACCUGAAACACACAUCACACAAAUGGUAAGCAUAAAUGCUUAGUGAGUUCCCCAAUAUACCACGUAUAGCACAUACGCCCUUCCAGGCCUUAGGAUCUUCCGAUCAAAGUUUCUCAGGGGAUUCCAUCCCGUAACUUUGUUGACCUUCUGGUCCAUAUCAUCUUGACCUUCCGGUCCACAUCAUCAUUCUCAUAUCGUAACAUAUCACAUAUAACAUGCAUCACAUAUAGAUCAUAAACAUAAGACCUUCCGGUUACAUAUAAUUACCCAAUCGGGUACGACAUAGUGAGAAAACUCACCUUACUGAUGUCGUAUAAUCACUCGUGCUCGAUCUCCCGACCUCUCGUCCUCCUAUAUCAUAAGUGCAUCUCAAAUUAAUACUUUUCCUGACUUAUUUUCUCUAACACUAACAAGUCAACACCAAUCAACCCUGGUCAACGGUCAACGGUCAACCUUAACCCAACUUCUCGAGUCUUGCACAGACUCGUCGACUCCAUACGUGAAUUCAUUUCCUCUGAAUCCCUUCUGGCUCACCGAGUCACUCACCCAACUCGGAGGGUCAUCAACUAGUCUGAGACACGGGACAACCUGCCCCGACUCGUUGAGUCUGAUCCUGGACUUGGCGAGUUCAUUCGAUGCACAUCCUCAAACGACUUCCUGAGGUCAGAUCCAGUCCUCUAACCUAUAGAUCUAUCAUUCCUAAACCCAAUAACCACGUAAAGUUUCUAUCUUGGUGCAAAUUUAACAUCUAUUGGGUCAUAUAUGAUGAUUUAGCCCCAAAUACCAUAACCCAAGGUCAUAAACUCCAUUUCUCUUCAUAAAGCUUAAUGAGUAAGGCUCUCUAGACCUCUAUGGAUCCAGAUCCAAAGCCUCAUCACCAAGAGGGACUAUUUGGUCAUCAAAUCUAACCAACAAAGGGUCAAAGAAACCCUAAAUCCAUAUGAUCAUCAUAAGAACAGAAGGAGAGUCGAAUUACUACCUCAAAUAUGAUGAUCUAAGCUUCAAAUCCACAGAAUAGCAAACUCCUUUGUUUCCCCUUGACUCGGAUCUCCUUCUUCUUGCUAAAAAACACCACAAAAGUCAAUAAUGGCUUCCUUUCUCUCUUAAAUCGCUCAAACACUCUAGGGUUUCUCUCUGGGAACAGGUAGCCGCAAAUGGAGGCUAUAAGGGCCUUUAAAUAGGUCGCAAACCCAAGAAAUUAGGGUUUCUUUCGCCAGCUCGGACUCGGCGAGUCACUCCCCCGGACUCGUUGAGUCCCCUCAUUAAACACAUCAUCCAAUCGCGACCAGACUCGACGAGUCUAUGCACCAACUUGUCGAGUCGCCUAGAAAAAUAAAGAAAUUACAAUAUAAUUAAUAUACCUGGGAAACCGGGUGUUACAAUUCUCCCCCACUAGAAUCAGACUUCACCCUCGAAGUCUCGCUCGACAAAUAACUCGGGGUACUGCUCACGCAUUUCUAACUCUGGUUCCCAAGUUAGCUCGGACCCCUUCCGAUUUUGCCACUAGACUCGGCGAUACACUUCCUCAACUGAGAUACGUGGAAGGUAUCAUGAAUCUGACUAAACUCCGCAGGUAGCUCCAAACGAUACGCUACCCUGCCCACCCUAGCGAUCACCCGGAAGGGACCAAUAUACCGAGGCCCCAACUUGCCCCUUUUCCUGAACCGAAUCACACCUUUCCAAGGUGAGACUUUCAGGAGAACAAAGUCACCCACCUGGAACUCAAGCUCUGACCGUGGAAGGUCAUGCACAUUAGGGUUUACAUGGUGUAACCCUAGUCUCCACACUAUAUAAGAACCCCCUUGGCUACUAAAAUUGGCANCCUCCCAUACAACAGCUCAAAGGGUGGCAUACCAAUGCUCGAAUAAUGGCUGUUGUUGUAGGAAAACUCUGCCAAGGGCAAGUACGUGUCCCAACUCCCGCCGAAAUCCAACACACAUGCUUGAAGUAUGUCCUCGAGCGUCUGAAUCGUCCGCUCACUCUGCCCAUCAGUCUGUGGGUGGUAUGCGGUACUAAAAUACAGCCUCGUACCCAUUUCCUCAUGAAACUUCUUCCAGAAUCUGGAAGUGAAACACACAUCUCGAUUUGAGACAAUCGAGAUCGGUACCCCAUGCCGCGAUACCACCUCCCUCACGUAUAUCUCUGCCAACCUCUCCGCGGAAGAGCUCUCACUAAUAGCAAGGAAAUGAGCACUCUUCAUCAACCUGUCCACAAUCACCCAAAUUGCAUCGACGCCUCUCGCAGUCCUCGACAAUUUGGUGAUGAAAUCCAUGGUAAUCUGUUCCCAUUUCCACUCGGGAAUCUCUAACGGCUGCAGCUUACCAUGUCGACAUUGGUGCUCGGCCUUAACCCUGCAACAGGUCAGGCAUCUCUCUACAAAAAAUGCGACAUCCCUCUUCAUACAGGGCCACCAAUACUCCCUUUUUAGGUCCAAAUACAUCUUAGUGGCCCCGGGAUGGAUCGAGAACUUCGAUCGAUGAGCCUCUUCCAUCAAAAUGGUAUGCGUCCCUCCCACAAACGGUACCCAUAUACGACCCUGAAAUGUCAUAAGUCCUCGACUAUCAGUAAGGAACUCCGAUACCUGUCCGAUCACCCGCUCCCUUUUGCGGUUCUUUGGUCUCACGGUCUCCGCCUGGGCCCCUCGAAUAGUAUCCAACAUAGGAGUCAUCACUGUCAAUCUCAUACAAAUGUCUUGCAUCGGGGCACUUUCCGCCCUACGGCUCAAGGCAUCGGCUAUAACAUUAGCCUUGCUCGGAUGGUACAGGAUCUCACAAUCAUAAUCCUUUACUACAUCUAACCAUCUCCUCUGCCACAUGUUCAGAUUGAGCUGAUCCAUCAAAUAAUUCAAACUCUUGUGGUCCGUGUGUAUGGUACACCGAACCCCAUACGGAUAGUGGCGCCAGAUCUUGAGGGAGAACACUACCGCCCCCAGCUCCAGAUCAUGAUUGGGAUACCUCACCUCAUGAGGCUUCAGCUGCCUCGAUGCAUACGCUAUCACAUGCCCCCUCUGCAUAAGCACCACACCUAACCCUGAUAUAGAUGCAUCGCAAUAAACCACAAAAUCAUUAACUCCCUCUAGAAGGGAUAACACCGAUGCUUCGCAUAGCUUUUGGCGAAGAGUCUCAAAUGAGGUCUGCUGCUUUGGACCCCAUGAAAAAGCAACACCCUUCCGAGUCAACCUAGUGAGUGGCACUGCAAUUUUUGAGAAAUCCUAAAUGAAUCUCCGAUAAUAACCGGCCGACCCCAGAAAACUCCUGAUCUCGGAGGCAGACAUCGGUAACUCCCAGCUCAUCACCGCCUCAAUCUUAGCCGGAUCGACCAAAAUGCCAUUCUGGUUAACGAGAUGCCCCAGGAACUGGACCUCCCGUAACCAUAAGUCACACUUGGAGAAUUUGGCAUAAAGCCUCUCGGAUCUCAACACCUCAAGAACCUCUCUCAAGUGUUCCUCAUGUUGCUCUCGAGAUCUAGAAUAUACCAGGAUAUCAUCAAUGAACACAAUCACCGAUCGAUCCAACAUCGGCCUACAUACUCUGUUCAUGAGAUACAUGAACGCUGCUGGCGCAUUGGUGAGCCCAAAAGGCAUCACCACAAACUCAUAGUGUCCAUAACGCGUCCUGAAUGCUGUCUUCUGGAUAUCCUCAUCAUGCACCCUCAUCUGAUGAUAUCCAGACCUCAAAUCAAUCUUGGAGAACCAAGAUGCCCCUGCAGCUGAUCAAACAAAUCAUCAAUCCUUGGUAAUGGAUAACGGUUCUUAACCGUUAACUUGUUCAACUCCCGGUAAUCGAUACACAUCUGGUGUGAACCAUCCUUCUUUUUAACGAAGAGAAUCGGCGCUCCCCAAGGCGAGCUGCUCGGACGAAUGAACCCCUUCCCUAGUAGCUCCUGUAGCUGUGAGAAUAACUCCUGCAUCUCUGUUGGUGCUAGGCGAUAAGGCGCCUUAGCGAUAGGCGCGACCCCGGGAAUCAAAUCGAUGCGAAACUCCACCUGCCUCUCGGGAGGCACACCCGACAACUCCUCGGGAAAUACAUCCGGGAACUCACGCACUAUCGGGAAAUCAUCAACUAAACUUGGACUCCGAGUGGCCUCCCACGCAUCCACCACAUAAGCUACGAAUCCCUUGCAGCCCUGCUGCAAACUCUGCCUUGCUCUGGCAGCCGAACAUAAUGUUGACCCACUACGAGUUCCCUCACCAUAAACCGCCAUGUGAGUUUGCCUUUUCUUCCACCAUAUGUCACCAUCCUCAAUCAAGAUCUCCUUGAAUCUCUGUAUAUAAAAAACCAUUCGAUAUGAAUCACACAACCACAACUUCCUCUGAAAUCCUUGGCAUCUUUUCACCAAGAAGACGUGCAUGCUGUGAGAGUAUCCAUCCUCAAUCAGGCUUUUGAAGUGAACAGAAACUACCAUCCUUAAAAAUGGCCAUCCUUUUUCCUCGGAUCAUUCAAGCAAAACAAAUUCUCAGAAGAUCAUUAUCCAACGGAAGCAGCACAACCAAAUCUAUGGAAACCCCAAAAGGCUAUUUAGCAAUUUAUGUUGGUGAGCAAGAGAAGAAGCGGUUUGUGGUUCCUGUAUGGUUGUUAAGCCAACCUGCAUUUCAAGAACUAUUAGAUCAGGCAGAGCAAGAAUUUGGGUAUGUUCAUCAAAUGGGCGGCCUCACAAUUCCAUGCAGUGAAUAUACAUUCAGUGAUAUUGCUUCUCAGUUAGGCGCAUUAUGACUUCUAUACAACAUUCUUACAACCAACUAACCACUAGGUUUUUUUUAUUAUUAUUUGUAAUUAAAUCGAGACAAUUUUCCCACUUGUAUGAAAUCAGAUCAAGGAGCAAUUUUGAGUUCACUAUAAUUUGUUUGUAUGAAUGAGAAACUAAUUUCACCAUUGAUUAUUUUGGAAAUGUGAAUUUUGGGAGUGAAAUUGAGGUAACGAAGAUAGUUGCUUUUGUUCAUGACCUAUCAUCCAAAAUAUAAUUAAUAAACAAUAUGUAGCACUUGGGUCAUCAAGCCCAACAAUCAUCACAUUUUGAUGUUGCCAACAAGAUGUUGCGACGACAAUACGGGGAUGCAAUUCAUGCUUCAGACGAAAAAUAUCUCUAUAUAAACGAAUACUGUGCUGAACACAUGAUGCCUGGAAAUAGUCGAGCAACUGAUAAAAUCUAGGGAACUCUAGCACAUGGUUUAGAAACUAAUAUAAAAAAGCCAAUCCAAAUCCAUUUCAAUAGAAGCCAAAUGAUUAGAAAGUUGCUUCUUCUCGACAUAAUGAAACUUGACUAUGUUAAUCAUCUAAAACUACAUCAGUAAAGUGUUCCUCCUUGAUGACAUAUUAAAGCUCGAAUUCUCGAAUCCCAUCCAUGAUAUCCUCAUUACAAAACCUCACAAGAUCCUGAGCCCAUUCAACUUCCACGCUUGCUAAUUGGAACCCCUCUAUGGACUCCUUCAAAUUAUCCACGUAUACUGCUACGACGAAAUCGAUGAGUAAUAUACCCCUCCAACAGAGAAACACACUCUACUUUGUUGCUCGCCUCUACAAACACGAAUACGAAAAAGAACCACACAAAUAUAGUUAACAAAAAUGUGUUUUACAAAUGAGCAAACCUACCACUAGUAGAUAAAAAGGUAUCACCUACAGAUAAGGGUAAGGACAGUGCGGUUCAGUGCAAUUAUGGACCUAUCCAAAUCGCAAACCGCAACUACAAUUAUUUCAUUUUUUGAACCGAAUAUUGUGGUUAUGUGGUUUUUUUAAUGCAGUUUGUAGUUUGGUAUUUGACUAUCUGGAUUUGGUGCGAUUUUCUUUAUGUUAUUUUUUUGUGUUGUUUUUUGCCAUGUGGAUUUGGUUCUUUAAAUAUGCGGUUUUAAGAAUUUAAAGCUGUUUGUAAUUAACAACAUAAAAACUUCAAAUUUCAAUAACUUACUUAAAACACUAUCAGACUAAUACGUAAACAAGCAAAAUCAUUACAUACUCAAAAAUUAAAAAUUCCUUAAAUAUUAGAGGAUAGAAACAAAGACAUAAGAUGUUAGGUAUGAAGUAGCAAAUAUUUCAAUCUCUUUUUGUUGAGCAUCAUUAGAUGAUCUUUUACCCUCUCACAGUGUAUCUACAUAGCUUUUCUUUUUAUUUUUUAUUUUUUUAUUUUUUUUAUAAUGUUAAUAUCAGAGAAUGUAUGUGUGAAAUUAAGUCCAAAAAUAUCGACAAUUUUCUUAAUUGUAUAAAAUAGGACCAAGGAACAAUUUUUAUUUCACUGUAAGUUGUUCAAUGUAAAAGUGAUAAACAAAUUUUAUUGUCGACUGUUUUAGAAAUUUGAAUUAUUUUGGGAGUGUAAUGGAGAUUAUUGUAUUUAACGUUAUAUCUUGGCCUUUUUUAUAAAACUGCAUCAAGCAAACAUAGUUAACAAAGAUGGUAGCUCUAUCUCCUAUAAGUACAAGCUUAUAUGGUCAAAUAAUAUACAUGGUAUUCCAAACAAGUCAAAAUUCUCAUUUUAUACAAUCGGUACAAGUGACUCGGUCUCGCAUGUUGCAAAACGGUCUGGGAUCCGUGGUUUAAAAAAAUGUGUUAACAAAUAGAAUGAUGUAACAUGACUUCAAAAUGCUCCCAGGCAACUUGCAAGAUCAAUGAAUUUCUGCUCACUACAUGGAAUUGUUAGGCCGCCCAUUGGAUGGUCAUAUCCAAACUCUUCCCCUGUCUACGAAAUAAGUCCUGAAAUGAAUAGUGGCUUAACAAUGACACUGGAAUCACAAAACGCUUCUGUUCUUGCUCUCCAACAUAAACUGCAAAAUACCCUUUUGGUAGAUCCACUGCUGUUGUGAGGAUCCCAUUUAACAAUGACCGUUGGAGUAUUUGUCUAGCUUGAAAGAUCCGACGUAUUCGAAUAACCAUUUUUCUGAAGGGUUAUCACAGAGGAACGAAACAAUUUAAGAAUAUUCCGAGAGAUUUUCAGGACGAGUUUGAGAGGAAAUUAUGCCGGUGCUUUGCCAAUCAUAUUCUAUAUAUAAAGGUUUAUUCGAGAAUGAAAUGUAAAAUAAUUAAGAAAAAGGAAUUUAAAUGUCAGAUGGGGAUAUUGCAACAGGAAGUCAAGAUCAUGUGCUGUGUCUUCUAACUUUUAUAGAUUAUGAUCUUGAAUAGCACAACCACAAAGUCACAGGCAAAAAUAUGUAUUAAUCAUGUACUUGUGUAUAGAAAAAGAAUUAAAAAAGAAUAUAACUUGUAUCACCAGUAUAUAUUCUGAAUUAACGUGGGUAUGAAAAACAGCAGAAGUGUCAUGGUCCCAUGUAAUAUUAAGAGGAAUGUGGUAAUGCCUCCUAACAAACACGAAAUUGUGGCUAAGGGCUUUGGGGUUUUCUUGAAACAUAUGUGGCCCUAUCAUUAAUAGGUGAAUUAGACAUUGGAUCUGUCUUACAGAUUGGAAGACAAAGCCAUGUGAGUUUGCCUUUUCUUCCACCAUAUGUCACCAUCCUCAAUCAAGAUCUCCUUGAAUCUCUGUAUAUAAAAAACCAUUCGAUAUGAAUCACACAACCACAACUUCCUCUGAAAUCCUUGGCAUCUUUUCACCAAGAAGACGUGCAUGCUGUGAGAGUAUCCAUCCUCAAUCAGGCUUUUGAAGUGAACAGAAACUACCAUCCUUAAAAAUGGCCAUCCUUUUUCCUCGGAUCAUUCAAGCAAAACAAAUUCUCAGAAGAUCAUUAUCCAACGGAAGCAGCACAACCAAAUCUAUGGAAACCCCAAAAGGCUAUUUAGCAAUUUAUGUUGGUGAGCAAGAGAAGAAGCGGUUUGUGGUUCCUGUAUGGUUGUUAAGCCAACCUGCAUUUCAAGAACUAUUAGAUCAGGCAGAGCAAGAAUUUGGGUAUGUUCAUCAAAUGGGCGGCCUCACAAUUCCAUGCAGUGAAUAUACAUUCAGUGAUAUUGCUUCUCAGUUAGGCGCGUUAUGACUUCUAUACAACAUGCAUUCUUACAACCAACUAACCACUAGGUUUUUUUUAUUAUUAUUAUUUGUAAUUAAAUCGAGACAAUUUUUCCACUUGUAUGAAAUCAGAUCAAGGAGCAAUUUUGAGUUCACUAUAAUUUGUUUGUAUGAAUGAGAAACUAAUUUCACCGCUGAUUAUUUUGGAAAUGUGAAUUUUGAGAGUGAAAUUGAGGUAACGAAGAUAGUUGCUUUUGUUCAUGACCUAUCAUCCAAAAUAUAAUUAAUAAACAAUAUGUAGCACUUGGGUCCAUGACCAUAUGAUGGUUAUAUAUCAACCAUUAAGUCUCACAUGAUUUUGUUCUUUAACCAAAGUAAAAUAAAAGUUGGCAAAACAUUGACGCAUUAUAAGAUGAAUUGGGUCCCACUUGAAAACAAUUCCAUUGCAUGAAAAACAAACAUAAUGGUUAGAUAUACGAAGAAAGUUAUAUAGCAAUGAUUAACUAUUAUUUUGAUUACUUAUACAGGCAAGGAUAAUGUAAAUUAAAGCAAAUGAAUCAUGCUGCUAAAGCGAUGCAAUUUCCUUAUCACAAUACAAGGGCUAUCUUUGUCUUGACCCAUGCACAGCUCGCGUUUACAUUACGCGUCAUGCUCGUUUUGACGAGAUGUGUUUUCCCUUUGACAGCGCCGCUCCGCGGAUCUCGUUGGAUGAUUUGCCUUUACACUCAUUUUUGGAAGAUACCUCACAACCUAUGCCUGUCUCCCGGGCCUGUUCAAAGCCUCCUGCUUUAUCUCCUUGUCAACCGCGUCCCUUCUCCUGUGGCGUCUGUGCUGACCCCCGCCCUUGCCCCGCUCCGGUGACCACUCCUGCAACUGACACUCUGGUUGCUGAACCUGAUGACCCUAUACCCUCCGAUUCCAACGCCUCAUCCGAGCCCCUUGGCUCAGCCGCUGGAUCGGAUAGUGAUGAUGAUCCACCCGCAUCACCGAACCCCGCACCUAGUGUUUCGAUCCCUACGCCCCUUGAUCCAUCUCCCGCCGGUCACCCCAUGAUUACUAGGGCAAAAGCAGGGAUUUUUAAGCCUCGUCAUCAGGCUGAUUUGGCACAUACAUCGGACCACGGGUUGUACUCUGCAUUGUUUGCCUCGACUGAUC